GAAUUACGCCUCCUCCUCCUCCUGCCGCCGCCGCCGCUGCCCUUCGCAUGGAGAAGGCUGGGCCAGGCAGGUGCAAGCCGGGACGGGAAGAGAAACGCCGGUGGCUCAGCAGAUUUGGGCUUUGCCGGCAGCUGGUGGAGGAGGAGGACGAGGAAGCAGCGCCCGUUCCUGCGCUUGGGGGCUGCCACGCAAGGCUUGGAGCAACCCCUUCUCCUCCAAAGAGAUGCGGGGAACGCCCGUGCCUGGCUGCAGGUGAUGAUCCCCGCAGCGUCCUCUCCAUUUGGGAAAAGUGACACGAAGGAAGCAGCAGUGGAAAAAUUGUAAUAAUCGGAGGAUUAAUUACGACCGGGAGCCUGCUUUUCUCACAGCCAAAAUGAUGCGUUGGGUGGGCCUCCUUUCAUUCUCCGUCAUAUUCCGGCUGUUUUUUGACCUGCCCUGGGUUCAAAUUGUGCCAGCCCUUUUCAUAUUCUACUUGGGCUCCGGUGGAUGGAAGUUCCUCCGCAUUUUCGCCAAGACCAUCAAGCGAGAUGCUAUGUAAGUCACGCCGCUUCUUCCUUUCUUGCUUUCCCUGUGAAUAGUCCCCCGACGUACGACCGCAACUGACUUCAAAAUUUCUGUGGCUGAGGGAGGCCGUUAAGUGAGCUUUGCCCCGUUCUACGGCCUUCCUUGCCACCGUUGUUAAGGGGAAUCCCUGCACUUGUUCAGCUCGUCCCACGGUGAUUAAAUGAAUCUGCCUUCCCCAUGGACUACGCUUGUCAGAAGGCCACAAAGGGGGAUCACGUAACCCUGGGACAUGGCGAUCGUCAUAAGUACGAGUGAGUUGCCAAACGUCUGACCAUGGGGAUGCAGUCAUAAGUGUGAAAAAUGGUCAUGAGUCACCUUUUUUUGAUGCU